rnacentral:rRNA from 2 species
CCUGAGAAACCCAAAAGAUCGAAUGGGGAGAUUCAUCGUCAGCGUGGCUGGCUUCCGUGCGGUUCGCGAUGGCCGGGACCUCGGUCUCGCGUCACGCGUCCGCUGCGGUAUGUCCGGCUGCGUCGGCGUGCACUUCUCCCCUAGUAGGACGUCGCGACCCGUUGGGUGUCGGACCGAUGGCCGUUUGGUCGCCUGUUACGUCGCGUUCACGCGUGCACGUGGCAGACCGAAAUGGCCGAGCGUCCGGCUGCCCGGCGGUAUAGAACGCUAUUGAACGGUAAUGAGCCGCAUUAAGUGCGUUCAGGCUCGUCGGCAGGCUCGUCUCGCCCGGAUUUACGGACCUAGCGCCGUUGCCGGGUGCUUGGCGUGGCUGUUAGUCGGCGAUGUCCUCGGACUGGCUCUAAAAUUCGAAAGGAUUACCGGUCGGCGACGCUACUGCUUUGGGUACUUUC